GGUCUCAACCAUCCCGGUCGAUUUUCACAGUUCCCUAAUAACGCGGCGCAUAGAAUCGCAUGAGGCGGGUUCAAUUCGCUAGCUUUGGCACUUCAAUUAUUUUUAAUUUAAUUCGACCAAACAAAAAGAUGCUCUGCAAGCCACCUCAUUUAUUUUGAUUUAUUUAAAACGUGGCUGGUGUCUAAAUUCAAAAAAAAAACAGCAACAGCACAAAAAAGUAACGAAGGCCUGUUUGAAUGAAUUUUGUGAUUCUGUGUUGAUGGUUUUUUUUUUCUUCUCUUCAAAGUGACCACAAUAAACAGGCCAUUUUCCAAAACGACAUAAUAAACAAAAAAAUUGGCCUCGAUGAAAGGUGGACAAAAUUGUUUAUGAUCACUAUUAUCAUCAUCAUCAUCGGUCGCUACAACAUUAUUACUUGGUGAAAAAAAUAUCUAUCAGACUAUGGGUGGCCAUACUCCCAGCGUUCUCCAUCCUCGCCACCUCCAUUAAGUGAGGCAAAGUUUUUCAAAAAAAAAAAUCAUUCGUUGCGUAUGUUUGUGUCCAUGUGUUUAGUUUUUGCGUUGCGGCAAUAAAAUAAAAAAUAAACAAAUAAAUUUAUUUAACACUUGUUCUGGAAUUUUUAUGAUUUCUGUUGUGUGAAACAAAAAAAAAAAAUUGUUGGAAAUUACUUUCAAAUAUUUUAAUAUUUUGGAAUUUGUGGAAAAUAAAAGAAAUCGCCUUUAAAUUGAAAUAUUUUCGGCGAAAACCACACGAAAAACACAAUUUAAUGUGAAUGAGUACCUAAAAGAAGAGCAAGCCUAAGAAUUUGGAAUAACGCAUUGGAUAUGGAAGACAUAUAAUUUGAAGAUUGACACAGACCCAGAACUAAUUAUUCAACGAAAAAGUUAUAUCAUUGAAAAGUUAAGUCACUAAAGUGACAAGAACAUAAACAACGUCACUAAAGGAACACCUUGAAAAGAUUAACAAGUCCAAAAGAGCCAACUUUGCCUAGGCAUACUUAAGCAAACAAAAAUAAAAGAGUGAAAAGUUCAUAAAUUCAUCGGCUCUACAGACCAAUGACGCCAAACUAUAUAUAGAUGACAUCUACUGUAGAUGAUGAAGAUUGAUUUAGUCACUUCCAAGGUAAACGAGACACUAACGAAGUAACAGUGGCUAAUUAAGAAGAAAUUGGAAAUGCUUCCGCCUUUGUGUUGCUGCUCAACUCAUAAAAUGAUGAUGAUGUCUGUUGGAAAGGUGUAGACCUUAACUAAGAACAAAAACCUCCUUCUUUGUGCCCUGCUUGUCUGGAUUAUUUGAGAACAUCAGCAGCCACAUCUUUCUUUUUUGAAAAUUAACAUCAAAACAUCAUUUGCGGCUUUGUUGUCAUAUCAAUAUACCAUCUAUCAUCGCCAUUGCCACGGUGGAUCUUUUACUGGCGGCUAUACAUCUCUAGUACAGCACGAGUUUAGUGAGGGAGUAGAAAACUUUAAAAAAAAGGCGGCAAAUGACAUACAAACAUUUAUGUUUGUAAUUAUAUGCUGUAACGGGCUAUGAACAUUAAUCGCAGCCGUGGCAGCAACAGCAGCAGGAAUAGCAUCAGCUUCAGCCUCAGAAAAUAUAAAAUAUUUAAAUUUAGACAAAAGAACACAUGUUGCCAAAUAUCACUACUGGAAGAUGUGAAGAGACAUUGUCGUGGCUAUACAACAACAACAACAAC